rnacentral:misc_RNA from 1 species
GAUGAAGAACGUAGCGAAAUGCGAUAAGUAAUGUGAAUUGCAGAAUUCAGUGAAUCAUCGAAUCUUUGAACGCACAUUGCGCCCGCCAGUAUUCUGGCGGGCAUGCCUGUUCGAGCGUCAUUACAACCCUCAGGCCCCCGGGCCUGGCGUUGGGGAUCGGCGGAGCCCCCCGUGGGCACACGCCGUCCCCCAAAUACAGUGGCGGUCCCGCCGCAGCUUCCAUCGCGUAGUAGCUAACACCUCGCGACUGGAGAGCGGCGCGGCCACGCCGUAAAACACCCCACUUCUGAAAGUUGACCUCGGAUCAGGUAGGAAUACCCGCUGAACUUAAGCAUAUCAAUAAGCGGAGGA